rnacentral:rRNA from 1 species
AGAGUUUGAUCAUGGCUCAGAUUGAACGCUGGCGGCAGGCCUAACACAUGCAAGUCGAGCGGUAGCACAGAGAGCUUGCUCUCGGGUGACGAGCGGCGGACGGGUGAGUAAUGUCUGGGAAACUGCCUGAUGGAGGGGGAUAACUACUGGAAACGGUAGCUAAUACCGCAUAACGUCGCAAGACCAAAGUGGGGGACCUUCGGGCCUCAUGCCAUCAGAUGUGCCCAGAUGGGAUUAGCUAGUAGGUGGGGUAACGGCUCACCUAGGCGACGAUCCCUAGCUGGUCUGAGAGGAUGACCAGCCACACUGGAACUGAGACACGGUCCAGACUCCUACGGGAGGCAGCAGUGGGGAAUAUUGCACAAUGGGCGCAAGCCUGAUGCAGCCAUGCCGCGUGUGUGAAGAAGGCCUUCGGGUUGUAAAGCACUUUCAGCGGGGAGGAAGGCGAUAAGGUUAAUAACCUCAUCGAUUGACGUUACCCGCAGAAGAAGCACCGGCUAACUCCGUGCCAGCAGCCGCGGUAAUACGGAGGGUGCAAGCGUUAAUCGGAAUUACUGGGCGUAAAGCGCACGCAGGCGGUCUGUCAAGUCGGAUGUGAAAUCCCCGGGCUCAACCUGGGAACUGCAUUCGAAACUGGCAGGCUAGAGUCUUGUAGAGGGGGGUAGAAUUCCAGGUGUAGCGGUGAAAUGCGUAGAGAUCUGGAGGAAUACCGGUGGCGAAGGCGGCCCCCUGGACAAAGACUGACACUCAGGUGCGAAAGCGUGGGGAGCAAACAGGAUUAGAUACCCUGGUAGUCCACGCCGUAAACGAUGUCGAUUUGGAGGUUGUGCCCUUGAGGCGUGGCUUCCGGAGCUAACGCGUUAAAUCGACCGCCUGGGGAGUACGGCCGCAAGGUUAAAACUCAAAUGAAUUGACGGGGGCCCGCACAAGCGGUGGAGCAUGUGGUUUAAUUCGAUGCAACGCGAAGAACCUUACCUGGUCUUGACAUCCACAGAACUUUCCAGAGAUGGAUUGGUGCCUUCGGGAACUGUGAGACAGGUGCUGCAUGGCUGUCGUCAGCUCGUGUUGUGAAAUGUUGGGUUAAGUCCCGCAACGAGCGCAACCCUUAUCCUUUGUUGCCAGCGGUUCGGCCGGGAACUCAAAGGAGACUGCCAGUGAUAAACUGGAGGAAGGUGGGGAUGACGUCAAGUCAUCAUGGCCCUUACGACCAGGGCUACACACGUGCUACAAUGGCAUAUACAAAGAGAAGCGACCUCGCGAGAGCAAGCGGACCUCAUAAAGUAUGUCGUAGUCCGGAUUGGAGUCUGCAACUCGACUCCAUGAAGUCGGAAUCGCUAGUAAUCGUAGAUCAGAAUGCUACGGUGAAUACGUUCCCGGGCCUUGUACACACCGCCCGUCACACCAUGGGAGUGGGUUGCAAAAGAAGUAGGUAGCUUAACCUUCGGGAGGGCGCUUACCACUUUGUGAUUCAUGACUGGGGUGAAGUCGUAACAAGGUAACCGUAGGGGAACCUGCGGUUGGAUCACCU